UACGAAGGGGGCUAGCGUUGUUCGGAAUUACUGGGCGUAAAGCGUGUGUAGGCGGCUCGUUAAGUCGGAUGUGAAAUCCCUCGGCUUAACCAAGGAAGUGCAUCCGAAACUGCCGUACUUGAGUACUUAAGAGGAUCGCGGAAUUCCCGGUAUAGAGGUGAAAUUCGUAGAUAUCGGGAGGAACACCAGUGGCGAAGGCGGCGAUCUGGGAAGAUACUGACGCUGAGGUGCGAAAGCGUGGGGAGCAAACAGG
rnacentral:rRNA from 1 species